UUUGGUGCUCAGGAAAAUGAAAAAAAAUUGGCACACAAACGCAAACAAAGUAAAACGUUAGUCAGAGCCCUGGUGGGGGUGUUUUCUUUUUUUCUGGAAUAAAGGAGGAGAUUUCUUCUAAACUGCUUCAUUUGGCUACUUCAAGGUCUCUUCUUACACAACACUUGACUGUUGUCAUAGUUUCAUGUACUGGGAAAACAAAACCUAACCGGACUGCUCACUGGAAAACACAGAUCAGACGUUUGAAAGCUGCAGACUUAUGCAGGAUGAUGAAGGUCUCAGGAAGAAUCCUGAUUCGCUGUGCAGCUCUGACCCUCGUCCUGACGUCUGGAUCUGCUAUACAAAUACUCGACUCCAUCGAUGACCUGAAGAGAAUCAACUUUGGCCGGUCUGUGCCCACUCACAGUCUCGUGCUGCUCCACUGGUUUGCCAACACGGUGACCAUCGACGGCUACAACGUGAUAAGCCUGAAUUUUGACUCAGACAGUGGCGAUUAUGGCUCACAUUAUUAUGGCAACUAUGAAGGGCUGCUGCCUCUAGGAAACAACAGAUACUACACCAUCGGGAACAUCUAUCAGGAGAGAGGCUUGCAACUUCCACAUCAUGUUGUCAACCCUCGGCCCGAGUAUGCAGGAAGAAACAGGGCUCGAAUCAUCGUCAGAGUCAGGCACCAAAGAAGACAGGGUUUACAGAUAAUAGAUGAAGUCUACAUCACCCAGCAUUAUGAGAUGUCUGACAAUCAGGGGACAGAUUAUGAUCCACAUCAGACAUUUCUGAUCACCCCCAACCUCUUAAGACAGAUUAGACAGUUUUCCAUGAACAGAGACCAGCACUUACUGAUGAGUCUCAGAAACCGCUUUGGGAGCAACGUUGAUGAUUCCCAGUUGAGGCUCAUCAGAAACACAUGGGGUUCCCUCGCUUGUCUCGGACUCUUGUUGCGCAUCGUUGUCCAGUCAGGGACAAGUGACAGAAACAACAAUUUGUGCAACAAUUGUGUAUUAUUCAUGCUUCUGUUACUCUUCAUUGCUUUUUUUAUUCUAUUCGGUAACGCAAAUAAACAACACGCAUGAGAAAACAUGCUCCAAGAUCCACAUCCUGACCUGACAGGUGGUGCUGUUUUAGGAUUCAUCAAGCCAGCAGUAUUUUAAAGUGGGAAAGGAACACAUUGAUGCCACUAGAUGACGGCCAGGGCUUGUUCUUUUGUUCGCUUUACCUCACUAUGCUUCACAUAUUAAAGUUUUCUGUGUAGUUAUUCAGCUCAUUUUGUAAAUAUUGUUUCGCUAAGACUGAAGUGUAAGUUCUGUACAACAGGCUAAACCGUGUAAAUGACAAACUGUGUGCCAUUCAGGGUUUCAGUUACAACCAAAGCUGCAGAAACUAGUAAAACAUAUGAUAACACACUCCUCUGGUUUCAGUUCUGCAAUAACGUCUAGUCAUCGUGUCUAAUUUAGAAGUAGUGCUGAUUCAUGUUUUGUUUGAGAAUGAAGAGAAACUGUUCUGAUGGAUAAACGAUAAAAAUCUGUGUUAGCAUUUAGAGUUAGUGAUUGUGUUUUAGUGACGAUUUGUACUCUUGAUAAUUGUUUUUACAAUAAACCACAUUUUAUUGGU